rnacentral:lncRNA from 1 species
AAGUCCGGCUGGCUUAGAUCAUGUGCUAACAAGACGGAGAUUUUUGGACAUAAAUGAUGAGCUUUUUUGAACAAAACUACAUUCGUUAUGGACCUGUGAUACCUGGAAGUGACAUCUGAUGAAGAGAAUCAAAGGUUCCUCAACAAGAGAGGGAGAGGACACGGAAGAGGCCAACACAGGGGGGUGGAAGAAAUCAAGACUAUCCAACCACAUGGAGCAGGACCAGAACAAGGCUGUGAUCAACAUUUCUGGAGAACCCCUUUCUGAUGAUUGUGAAUCUACAUCUAAAGGCUUGGUACAAGCAAAACAUCUCUCCAAC